AGGGCUACAGCAAGGAGAAUAACACAAGAGUGCAAAAGCAGCAAGCAGGAGUAAAGAUUUCUCAGCUGCACAGUACUCAGCAAUGCUGCAAGUCAACAUCGGCUGGCUGCAGACCUGAGAUGCCGGGAGGAAGCUCGGAGGUUCCCUCGUCACCAACAGCUUCACUGCGUUCCUCGCAGGCUUCGGCUGUCAGCACGGCAUCCAGCGCUCCCACCGCCAAUCACCGGGAGCUGCCGCCGCGCUGCUCCCUGACAGAAGUGCAGGGAGCUGCGGGGGGAUGCAGACAAAGCACGAGGGAGACAAAAGGGAUGGAGAUGUGAGCCGCUCCGCUAACGGAGCCCUCCGGAGCCUCUGCGGCCGCAUUGAUGCUGCUUGGCGCAGGGCAUCGGCCGCUCGUCCCCAAGGGAGGCUCUUACAGCAUUGAUCGGCUCUGCACAAAGCCCGGCUGUGAGCUGCUCCCCAGCAGCCACCCUUCCCUGCAUCCUCCUCCUCCUGUCCCUGACAGCCCCCCGGCCGAGCUGCCCUCGGAGCAAAUUUGCCCUAGGAGCAAAUGCCACCUGUACCCAAUGAGGCAGAUCCCGAAGUGCCGCGAAUGGAUCCUAGGAUUCUCAUUUUCCUUCUCUACGUGAUGAUCCUCCACGAGCUGGUGAGCGGCUGGAUGGAAUACCAGAAGCAGAUCGCCAAGCCCAAGAAGCAGGCAGGGCCGGUCUGGUCCUCCAGCAGCACCACCAGGCAGAGCCAUUCCAGCUUCGCCAGGCCGCUGGUCCACUCAGUGCGCAGGGAGCGGCACCGGGACUGGAGGAAACCGGGACGGAUCAUCCGGAAGGCAUGAAGCCCCAAGGAGCCCAUGGAGCAGGGAUGGCCCCAAGGAGCCCACGUGGAGCAGGGAUGGUGGCCCCAAGGUGCACCAGCCAGCAUCGGCCACACCAGUCAAGACUUUGGUUACCCAACAUGGCAAGAUGACUCUUCUGUCUUCCCCUUUGAGUAGACAGAGAUCAGAUUUCUUUGGGAAGGAUGGAAUUUGCUCCUUGGUCAACCAUGAGAAGCCUUCAAAUGAGCCUCCGUUGCCCAGUGGGAGGGAAGGCGCUGGGGUCUGGUCCUCUGCAGGGCACCCGGCACUGAAAGCCCUCAUGGCUCUGCUGGUCCCCGCCAACCUCACUGUGCAGUGUUUCUGCUUUUUGUCACCAUUGCUCUGUGGUGGAAGAGGGGAAGUGCUGGGAACUGGUGCCAUUUGUGCAAUGGCCCUGUAAUUAGAUUUCUUUGCAGCCUUCCCAGCAGAUGAGCCAAGUGCAAGAGAGACUUCCUAGCGAGCAGAUAGAAGGGAAAGGAAUACACGUUGCUCUUUUAUUAGGGUCUGUGGUUUAGGUGUAGAAUUAGAUUUUAAAGUCAGGAGUCAGCUCUCAUGUCCUGCACAGCAGCUGUGUGCAGGAUGGGCCAUCUCUGGGCACUGCAGGAUUCCAGCCCCGCGCUCCUGCAGCUCGUGCUCAGGGCAGAGCUGGCUGCCUUGUUUGCUGAACGCCACGUCUGCCUCCAACACAGCCUGUUUUCCUCUCUGCCAACCAUUUACAAGCCUGACUCAGGCUGGGUGAUGCGUAAUGCAGAAGCAGAUAGGGAAGGACCUUGGGGUGGGUCGGGCAUCAGCACGAAGGGCCGCUGGUGCUGCCCCAGGGCAGACAGCUCAGAGACAGACCUCAGCUCUUAGAGCAGGCAGAGCGUUGUCCGCGUGAGGUGGAGCGAGCGCCGCGUGUCCUGAGGCAGAAGCAGUCAGGGAUUUUCUGCUCAUUUCA
rnacentral:lncRNA from 1 species